CCUACGGGAGGCUGCAGUGGGGAAUAUUGCACAAUGGGGGGAACCCUGAUGCAGCGACGCCGCGUGCGGGAUGACGGCCUUCGGGUUGUAAACCGCUUUCACCAGGGACGAACCUAGACGGUACCUGGGGAAGAAGCGCCGGCUAACUACGUGCCAGCAGCCGCGGUAAUACGUAGGGCGCAAGCGUUGUCCGGAAUUAUUGGGCGUAAAGAGCUCGUAGGCGGCUUGUCGCGUCGGGUGUGAAAGCCCACGGCUCAACCGUGGGUCUGCAUCCGAUACGGGCAGGCUAGAGGCAGGUAGGGGAGAACGGAAUUCCCGGUGUAGCGGUGAAAUGCGCAGAUAUCGGGAGGAACACCGGUGGCGAAGGCGGUUCUCUGGGCCUGUACUGACGCUGAGGAGCGAAAGCGUGGGGAGCGAACAGGAUUAGAUACCCUAGUAGU
rnacentral:rRNA from 1 species